rnacentral:rRNA from 1 species
AUUGAACGCUGGCGGCAGGCCUAACACAUGCAAGUCGAACGAGUGGCGGACGGGUGAGUAAUGUCUGGGAAACUGCCCGAUGGAGGGGGAUAACUACUGGAAACGGUAGCUAAUACCGCAUACCAUCGGAUGUGCCCAGAUGGGAUUAGCUUGUAGGUGGGGUAACGGCUCACCUAGGCGACGAUCCCUAGCUGGUCUGAGAGGAUGACCAGCCACACUGGAACUGAGACAAUGUACAGACUCAUACGGGAGGCAGCAGUGGGGGAUAUUGCACAAGGGGCGCAAGCCUGAUGCAGCCAGGGCGCGGGUAUGAAGAAGGCCUUCGGGUUGGAAAGUAAUUUCAGCGGAGAGGCGUUACCCGCAGAAGAAGCACCGGCUAACUCCGUGCCAGCAGCCGCGGUAAUAC